CCUACGGGGCGCAGCAGUGAGGAAUAUUGGUCAAUGGACGCAAGUCUGAACCAGCCAUGCCGCGUGCAGGAAGACGGCUCUAUGAGUUGUAAACUGCUUUUGUACGAGGGUAAACGCAGAUACGUGUAUCUGUCUGAAAGUAUCGUACGAAUAAGGAUCGGCUAACUCCGUGCCAGCAGCCGCGGUAAUACGGAGGAUUCAAGCGUUAUCCGGAUUUAUUGGGUUUAAAGGGUGCGUAGGCGGUCGGAUAAGUUAGAGGUGAAAUCCCGAGGCUCAACUUCGGAAUUGCCUCUGAUACUGUUCGGCGAGAGAGUAGUUGCGGUAGGCGGAAUGUAUGGUGUGGCGGUGAAAUGCUUAGAGAUCAUACAGAACACCGAUUGCGAAGGCAGCUUACCAAGCUACUUCUGACGUUGAGGCACGAAAGCGUGGGGAGCAAACAGGAUUAGAUACCCGAGUAGUC
rnacentral:rRNA from 1 species